rnacentral:rRNA from 1 species
UACGUAGGGAGCAAGCGUUGUCCGGAAUCAUUGGGCGUAAAGCGCGCGUAGGCGGCCCUGUAAGUCCGUUGUGAAAGUCAAAGGCUCAACCUUUGAAAGCCGAUGGAUACUGCAGGGCUAGAGUCCGGAAGAGGCGAGUGGAAUUCCUGGUGUAGCGGUGGAAUGCGCAGAUAUCAGGAGGAACACCGGUGGUGUAGACGGCUCACUGGACCAUAACUGACGCUGAGACACGAAAGCGUGGGUAGCAAACAGG